rnacentral:rRNA from 1 species
UACAGAGGUCCCAAGCGUUGGUUCGGAUUCACUGGGCGUAAAGGGUGCGUAGGUGGCCAGGUAAGUUUGGUGUGAAAGCUCGGAGCUUAACUCCGAAAAGUCAUUGAAUACUAUCUGGCUGGAGGGUCGGAGGGGAGACUGGAAUUCGUCGGUGUAGCAGUGAAAUGCGUAGAUAUCGAGAGGAACACCAGUGGCGAAGGCGAGUCUCUGGACGACUCCUGACACUGAGGCACGAAAGCUAGGGGAGCAAACAGG